rnacentral:rRNA from 1 species
UACGGGGGGAGCAAGCGUUGUUCGGAAUUACUGGGCGUAAAGGGCGCGUAGGCGGCCUUCUAAGUCGAACGUGAAAUCCCUGGGCUCAACCCAGGAACUGCGUCCGAUACUGGAAGGCUUGAAUCCGGGAGAGGGAUGCGGAAUUCCAGGUGUAGCGGUGAAAUGCUUAGAUAUGAUAUAGAACACCGAUUGCGAAGGCAGCUUACUAAGCAAAUAUUGACGCUGAGGCACGAAAGCGUGGGGAUCAAACAGG